rnacentral:rRNA from 1 species
GACCAGACUCCUACGGGAGGCAGCAGUGGGGAAUAUUGCACAAUGGGGGAAACCCUGAUGCAGCAACGCCGCGUGAGUGAAGAAGUAUUUCGGUAUGUAAAGCUCUAUCAGCAGGGAAGAAGAUGACGGUACCUGACCAAGAAGCCCCGGCUAACUACGUGCCAGCAGCCGCGGUAAUACGUAGGGGGCAAGCGUUAUCCGGAUUUACUGGGUGUAAAGGGAGCGUAGACGGCAUGGCAAGUCAGAUGUGAAAGCCCGGGGCUCAACCCCGGGACUGCAUUUGAAACUGUCAGGCUGGAGUGCAGGAGAGGUAAGUGGAAUUCCUAGUGUAGCGGUGAAAUGCGUAGAUAUUAGGAGGAACACCAGUGGCGAAGGCGGCUUACUGGACUGUAACUGACGUUGAGGCUCGAAAGCGUGGGGAGCAAACAGGAUUAGAUACCCCUGUAGG